rnacentral:rRNA from 1 species
UUCGGAGCUAACGCGUUAAGUAGACCGCCUGGGGAGUACGGUCGCAAGAUUAAAACUCAAAUGAAUUGACGGGGGCCCGCACAAGCGGUGGAGCAUGUGGUUUAAUUCGAUGCAACGCGAAGAACCUUACCUACUCUUGACAUCCAGAGAAGCCAGCGGAGACGCAGGUGUGCCUUCGGGAACUUUGAGACAGGUGCUGCAUGGCUGUCGUCAGCUCGUGUUGUGAAAUGUUGGGUUAAGUCCCGCAACGAGCGCAACCCUUAUCCUUGUUUGCCAGCGAGUAAUGUCGGGAACUCCAGGGAGACUGCCGGUGAUAAACCGGAGGAAGGUGGGGACGACGUCAAGUCAUCAUGGCCCUUACGAGUAGGGCUACACACGUGCUACAAUGGCGCAUACAGAGGGCUGCCAACCAGCGAUGGUGAGCGAAUCCCAAAAAGUGCGUCGUAGUCCGGAUUGGAGUCUGCAACUCGACUCCAUGAAGUCGGAAUCGCUAGUAAUCGUGGAUCAGAAUGCCACGGUGAAUACGUUCCCGGGC